rnacentral:rRNA from 1 species
GUUGAUCCUGCCAGUAGUCAUAUGCUUGUUUAAGCAAGCUUGAGCAAGCUUAAACCAGCUUAAACAAGAUUUAAAAAGCUUUAAAAAUCUUGAAAAGCUUGAAAAAGCUCUAAA